rnacentral:lncRNA from 1 species
CAAAACCCAGUCUGGUGACAAUGUGUUAAGGUCUCAUUAGGCAAUUCCUCGGCCUGGGCUGAUCUAUAGUCACUUUGUUUGUGAGCCUUGGAAUAGUAACGCCGAUUGAAAGCAGCAAGCAAGAUUUUCAGUCCCCAAAACAUGGUGAGUUGUACCCGCUUGCCCGCUUCAUUUUUCACCACAACUUGCAACCUUCUUCCACUUGUGGAAAUGGUUUAUGCACUGAUUCUGAGGGCUCACAUCUCUGCUAUUCUAGAUCCUUGCACUCAGCUAAUAAUGUAAAGUGAAGUUUUCAAACACUCAACAG